UGAGCCCCGGCAUCUCUAGGCUUGGCAGGUUGUAGCCCUGGUACCUCUGGGCUUGCUUCAUCAAUUAUGAAUGUAGAAAGAACUGCUGGAGCCCCGGAUCCUCUUUCAUUACACAUUAAGCACUGGACGUAUAUAUGAGCAGACCCAUUGAGCAUCAGGUGAAACCAGUGUGGGAAGUUUUAUGCAUCUUUGUCUUCUUCUCCCAGAACUGUGCAAAUAACCGAUUUUUAGGUUUACACCAAAAUAAAAUAAUUUUGGGUCAACCAAAAAUCUUAAAAUGUGUUUGUUAUGGGUUGAAUGGCAUAUAUUGUUUGACCCAGUAUCCUGUUUUCUGACAAUGCCAGGUGCUCCAGAGGGAAUGAACAGAACGGGCAAUCAUCAAGUGACCCAUCCUCUGUCACCCAUUCCCAGCUUCUGGCAAAAAAGAAACUAAGUGAGUUGCCCAAUGUCACACAGGAGAAGGGAUCUGAACUGAGGCCUUCAGAAUUCUAGGCUAACACACUAGCCACUGGGCUGUCCUUCCCCUGUGAAUGUGCACAGAACAACACCAGGACAGCAUCCCAUUCAAGUACUACCUAAGCAUGUAUUAUCCAGAAAAUUAUUAAUUCACUCCUCUCCGUGUUCCCAAAGGAAGAUUCCCCAGCAAUACAGCUCACUUAGGGAACCACCUUCACCAUUCAAAUUUCAACCAGAGAAACUAUUGCAUUAUUUCCUGUUUGUGUUUUGUGUUGUUUUAAACUAUUUCUACAAAGAAAGGGAGCAAGGAUCUCUCCAGAAAGCGAAAUUUGGACAUUAACUAAAUACAAAUUUUACUUACUUGGACAAACUAGGGCUUUUCUCCAUUCUGAAACCAAGCAAAUCAAACAAAGUUUCAAGAAAACCAGUAACCAAAUUAGAACUUCCACCACCGCAACAAGCUACCAAGGGAAGUGAUGGAUUCUCCACCUCUUGAUGUCUUCAGACCAAGACUGCAUGUCUUUCUGAAAGAUCUGCCGAACAGAGCAUUGGACUCAAUACCAGGGUAAUGGGUGAAAUACUCCGGCUUGUGUUAUGCAGGAGGUCAGACUAGAUGAUCUGAUGGUCCCUUCCAGCCUUAAAUCUGUGAAUGAAUUACAUUUGGAUUCAUGAUACAAGGGGCGGCUCCAGGCACCAGCACGCCAAGCGCGUGCUUGGGGUGGCAAAAUGCCUAGAGCUGCCCCUGUUUCUGGACUACAGUUUCUAACAAAGAAGGCCUUUGAACAAUGGACUGAGGACCCCAGUAUUUGGGAUGAACCAGAGACUUGUUGCAAGCUAGCAGAUUUAACAUCACUACUAUUAUCCUGAUCUACGACUCUGAAACGAACUGCAAUGUACCUCAGCUCUCUUCCUUUUGAAAAUUAUUAAUAAAGCUUUAGUUUUUAGUUACUGAAGAAUUGGCUAUCAGUGGGAAUUGGGAGGAAGAUCUGGAAGAACCUAAUAUGUGAUUUCUGGUUUUAAUAAUCAUGUAUCACAGAAGUCUGGUUUGUCUGGGUGGUGCAUGAGGGGCUAGAGGGCCUGAAGGGGACUGUGUGUGGCUUCAUAAGAACUAGUAUACUAAUUUGGGAGCACAUAUUUGUUACUGGCCUGGUAUAUUCUUUUCACCAGGAGUUAGGGGCACAUGCCCUGUUUUCUGGUAGUCUGACCUGAGACUGGAGUUCUUGCUGUGUCCCAUAUCAAGCAGUGUGACACAGACUAUUGC